AAGUCGUAACAAGGUUUCCGUAGGUGAACCUGCGGAAGGAUCAUUAAUGAAAUUGGGGUUUCUGUGCCGCCUUUAACGAGGAUUUGUGCACGAUUCCCCUUAAUCCCUUCAACACCUGUGCACAUUGAGAGAAACCCGUAAGGGAUUCUCUAUUAUAAACUCAUAGUCAAUUGAAUGUUCAUUGGCCGAAAGGCUCUAAAUAAAACAACUUUUAACAACGGAUCUCUUGGCUCUC
rnacentral:misc_RNA from 1 species